UACGGGGGGAGCAAGCGUUGUUCGGAUUUACUGGGCGUAAAGGGCGCGUAGGCGGCCAGUGCAAGUCAGUUGUGAAAUCUCCGAGCUUAACUCGGAAAAGUCAACUGAUACUGCUCGGCUAGAGUGCGGAAGGGGCAACUGGAAUUCUCGGUGUAGCGGUGAAAUGCGUAGAUAUCGAGAGGAACACCUGCGGCGAAGGCGGGUUGCUGGGCUGACACUGACGCUGAUGCGCGAAAGCCAGGGGAGCGAACGGG
rnacentral:rRNA from 1 species